rnacentral:rRNA from 1 species
GAUGAACGCUGGCGGCGUGCCUAAUACAUGCAAGUCGAGCGAACAGAUGAGGAGCUUGCUCCUCUGACGUUAGCGGCGGACGGGUGAGUAACACGUGGAUAACCUACCUAUAAGACUGGGAUAACUUCGGGAAACCGGAGCGAAUACCGGAUAAUAUAUUGAACCGCAUGGUUCAAUAGUGAAAGACGGUUUUGCUGUCACUUAUAGAUGGAUCCGCGCCGCAUUAGCUAGUUGGUAAGGUAACGGCUUACCAAGGCAACGAUGCGUAGCCGACCUGAGAGGGUGAUCGGCCACACUGGAACUGAGACACGGUCCAGACUCCUACGGGAGGCAGCAGUAGGGAAUCUUCCGCAAUGGGCGAAAGCCUGACGGAGCAACGCCGCGUGAGUGAUGAAGGUCUUCGGAUCGUAAAACUCUGUUAUUAGGGAAGAACAAAUGUGUAAGUAACUAUGCACGUCUUGACGGUACCUAAUCAGAAAGCCACGGCUAACUACGUG